rnacentral:sRNA from 1 species
GUGGUAUAGUACUUAAGAAUACCAUAGACAGAGGACUUUGAAAUGUAAAUGGCCUCUUAGCUACUAACGUUCUUGGGUGCAGGUUACAUUUUAUUUUAAUUUCUAUUUAAAUUAGGAUUUGCUCCCACCUAUGCUGUCUUUAUGAAGUUGAUUUUUAAUUUUUUAAGGCAUUCUCUUGUCCCUGCCUCAUUACAUGGUAUUUUAAUGGGUGAAUGUUUGAGUUAGUCUGUCUCAACACUGAAUUGCUAUCUCAUCUGGUGGGUAAUGGAGGUUUAAUUUGAAUCCGUGUACAGCCUUUCUUUAACUUAAUAUGACUUUUGGAGUUCUUCUGUGUGUAUCCCAUUUUCUUUAAAUCUUUAAAUUAUUACUUGGCACCCUAGAACUUGUAUGACCUGAAAAUGUGUAUAAAAUAUAUUGAUAUGAUUCUGUAGAAUAAUUCAGACAGAUAAUAAAAAGUGGAAUUUGUUGCA